AUACAAUGCUGUGGACAUCUUCUUAGCAACUCUUUAUAUCUUUCCCAGGCUUCAUAUAAUGAUUCCCCUUCUAGUUGCAUAAAGGAUAUGAUUUCUCCUCUCAGUUU